rnacentral:rRNA from 1 species
GGCUCAGAACGAACGCUGGCGGCGUGCCUAACACAUGCAAGUCGAACGUGAUUGAGGAGCUUGCUCCUCAUGAAAGUGGCGCACGGGUGAGUAACGCGUAGAUAAUCUGCCUGGUGAUCCGGGAUAACACUUCGAAAGGGGUGCUAAUACCUGAUAAGCCCACGGAGUCUUUGGAUUCUGCGGGAAAAGGGGGGGACCUUCGGGCCUUCUGUCACCAGAUGAGUCUGCGUACCAUUAGCUAGUUGGUAGGGUAAAGGCCUACCAAGGCGACGAUGGUUAGCUGGUCUGAGAGGAUGAUCAGCCACACUGGAACUGAGACACGGUCCAGACUCCUACGGGAGGCAGCAGUGGGGAAUUUUGCGCAAUGGGGGAAACCCUGACGCAGCAACGCCGCGUGAGUAAUGAAGGCCCUUGGGUCGUAAAGCUCUGACAGAGGGAAAGAAAUGUGGGUGGCUAAUAUCCAUACCACUUGACGGUACCCUCAAAGGAAGCACCGGCUAACUCCGUGCCAGCAGCCGCGGUAAUACGGGGGGUGCAAGCGUUGUUCGGAUUUAUUGGGCGUAAAGCGCGUGUAGGCGGUUUUAUAAGUCUGAUGUGAAAGCCCUGGGCUCAACCUGGGAAGUGCAUUGGAUACUGUAAGACUUGAAUACGGGAGAGGGCAGUGGAAUUCCUGGUGUAGGAGUGAAAUCCGUAGAUAUCAGGAGGAACACCGGUGGCGAAGGCGGCUGCCUGGACCGAUAUUGACGCUGAGACGCGAAAGCGUGGGUAGCAAACAGGAUUAGAUACCCUGGUAGUCCACGCCGUAAACGAUGAGAACUAGGUGUUGCGGGUAUUGACCCCUGCAGUGCCGCAGCUAACGCAUUAAGUUCUCCGCCUGGGAAGUACGGUCGCAAGACUAAAACUCAAAG